rnacentral:rRNA from 1 species
GACGAACGCUGGCGGCGUGCUUAACACAUGCAAGUCGAACGGAAAGGCCCUGCUUUUGUGGGGUGCUCGAGUGGCGAACGGGUGAGUAACACGUGAGUAACCUGCCCUUGACUUUGGGAUAACUUCAGGAAACUGGGGCUAAUACCGGAUAGGAGCUCCUGCUGCAUGGUGGGGGUUGGAAAGAUUCGGCGGUUGGGGAUGGACUCGCGGCUUAUCAGCUUGUUGGGGGGGUAGUGGCUUACCAAGGCUUUGACGGGUAGCCGGCCUGAGAGGGUGACCGGCCACCUUGGGACUGCGAUACGGCCCAGACUCCUACGGGAGGCAGCAGUGGGGAAUAUUGCACAAUGGGCGGAAGCCUGAUGCAGCAGCGCCGCGUGCGGGACGACGGCCUUCGGGUUGUAAACCGCUUUCGCCUGUGACGAAGCGUGAGUGACGGUAAUGGGUAAAGAAGCACCGGCUAACUACGUG